UUCAUGCCAAUGGAUUUAUGUUCCUGGGGGUAUUGGCUGCCUUUGCUGCAUCACACAGGUUGCCAGGGAAGUGGGGGAAAGCGGCCAGUCACAGAACUCUCCCAGCUCCCACGCAGCCCGCGGCCUGAAAGGCUGGUCUCACUCCCACUGUGUGGCUUGCAUAUGAUCUUAUAUAUACUCUCACUCUCACUCCUGGCUUGUAUAUGAUCUUAUACAAGUUAGAAAAGCAAGCUGACUCACAGUUUCUUGGCUCUCCCACAGAGCCUGCAGUGGCUAUCCACCUCCUUCAAAGGGUCUGUGGAUUCUCUUGGCUUUCCUGGUAUGUUCCUGCGAUAGUUCUUGGAGCAAAAGUUCACACUGUGGGUCUCCAGAGGCUGCUCUGUUUAUCCGAAUGGGAGCUGAAAGAAUGCCUGUUACUAUGCAUCUGACAAAGGACUAAAAUCCAGAAUCUACAAGGAACUAAACUCAACAAGAAAAAAUAAUCUCAUUAACAAGUGGGGAAAAGAUAGGAACAGACAUUUCUCAAAAGAAGAUAUACAAGAGGACAAGAAACAUAAAAUAAAAUGCUCAAUAUCACUAACCGUCAGUGAAAUGCAAGUUAAAACCACAAUGAGAUGCCACAUCACACCGGUCGGAAUGGCCAUUAUUAAAAAGUCAAAAAACCACAGAUGUCGACAAAGAUGCAGAGAAAAGGGAGCACUUAUACACCGUUGGUGCGAAUAUGAAUUAGUACAACCUCUAUGGACAACAGUAUAGAGAUUUCUCAAAGAAGUAAAAAUAGAACCACCAUUAGGCCCAGCAAUCCCACUACUGGGUAUCUACCCAAAGAAAGAGAAAUUGUUAUAUAUAUAUAUCUGCACUCAUAUGUUUAUCACUGCACUAGUCGCAGUAACAAAGUCAUGGAAUGAACCUAAGUUUCCAUCAAAAGAUGAUUGGAUAAAGAAAAUGUGGAAUACCAUGAAAUACUACACAUCUAUAGAAAAAAAAAUUAUGUCUUCUGCAGCAACAUGGAUGUAACUGGAGGUCAAAAUACUCAGAAACACAACAUCAAAUACCACAUGUUCUCACUUAUAAAUGGGAGACAUGUACAAACAGAGAAAAAUAAUCAAGGCUGGGGACUUCAAAAGAGGGGCUUGGGAGGGACUUGAGAGUUGAAAAAUUACCUACUGGAUACAAUGUUCAUUAUUCAGGUAAUAGGAACAUUAGAAGCCCAAAUCUCAGCUUUCCACAAUAUAUCCAUGUGACAAAUCUGCAUAUAUACCCACUGAAUCUAUAAAAAUAAAAUGAAUAAAUUUUAAAAAGCAUGUUUCAACACUCCAUAGAAACUCUACAGUUUGGUUAUUAACAUAGAAUCUUCUAGGUCUCAUGGUCAAGUAGCAACAGAGCUAAAUCUAUUCCUAAGAGUUCUUUUUCUAUGAACCUCAAAACUGACAGCCUUAAGAAUUAUCUAACUAAUAGGCUAAAACAAUAUUCUUAAACAUGAUAUAUUCUUCCUCCAAAAUCCAAGAAGUUCCACACAAGACUGUGCCUUUUUGUUGGAGGUAGUAGGUACAAAGAAAAAUAACUUGACCUUGAGUUUAGAGUACAUAUUCUGAUGUGGACUAGAUCAUUAAAUCACUAAAGUAAUAACCAAUAUGGCAGUGUAAUUAUGAUUAUAGGUUUUAUCUCUGAUUCUUGGCAGCCAUGUUUGCUAGGAAAUUAUUUGCCAUGGUCUGCUCACCAAAUCCAAUUUACACAAUAUUAUUACAAUAGAGGGCCACAAUGAUGCUCUGUUGAAUGCCAAGAUGAAAACGGUAUCUUCUUCUAGAGAGGAUGGAGGUAGUCUACCCCUGUGAUACAAUAGUGAGUGUUGUCUAUAUUUUCCUAGGUGAAUUUGAACUACUACAUUUACACUCUUUGUGCGAUUAAAAAGGACGUAUCUUCCAGAUCAAUAAAAGCUUACCAAAAGUUA